UGGGGAAUAUUGCGCAAUGGGGGAAACCCUGACGCAGCAACGCCGCGUGAGUGAAGAAGGCCUUCGGGUUGUAAAGCUCUUUCGGCCGGGAAGAAGGGUGUACGGGCUAAUAAAACGUACAUUUGAUGGUACCGGAAUAAGAAGCACCGGCAAACUUCGUGCCAGCAGCCGCGGUAAUACGAAGGGUGCGAGCGUUGUUCGGAUUUACUGGGCGUAAAGGGUUCGUAGGCGGGAACGUAAGUCGAAUGUGAAAACCCCGGGCUUAACCUGGGACGUGCAUUCGAAACUAUAUUUCUUGAGUUUUGGAGAGGGUGGUGGAAUUGCUGGUGUAGGAGUGACAUCCGUAGAGAUCAGCAGGAACGCCGGAGGCGAAAGCGACCACCUGGCCAAGGACUGACGCUGAGGAACGAAAGCGUGGGGAGCAAACAGG
rnacentral:rRNA from 1 species